rfam:Gemmatimonadetes bacterium 13_1_40CM_2_60_3 13_1_40cm_2_scaffold_142966, whole genome shotgun sequence.
CCCACGGCUUGCGCCGUGGGCUUUGAUCUUGCGCCGCUUCGCGGCU